AGCUUUGCGCAGUGGCAGUAUCGUAGCCAAUGAGGUUUAUCCGAGGCGCGAUUAUUGCUAAUUGAAAAGAAAUAUGAGUUACAC
rnacentral:snRNA from 1 species